UACUCUUGGGGCUGUGGAGGGUCCAGUUCCUCCUCAGCCAAGGAUGGAAGCCAAUAUCAGCUCCUAAGGACCAUUGUCAAGACUGCCAUGAGCCUUAUUUUCCUGCCUCAGACAUUU
ensembl:snoRNA